UACAGAGGUGCCAAGCGUUGUUCGGAUUUAUUGGGCGUAAAGGGUGCGUAGGCGGUUGUGUAAGUCGGAUGUGAAAUCCCGGAGCCUAACUCCGGAAUGGCAUUCGAAACUACACAGCUCGAGGUCUGGAGAGGUGACUGGAAUUCUCGGUGUAGCAGUGAAAUGCGUAGAUAUCGAGAGGAACACCAGAGGCGAAAGCGAGUCAUUGGACAGAACCUGGCGCUGAUGCACGAAAGCCAGGGGAGCAAACGGG
rnacentral:rRNA from 1 species